GCGCUGCCUUUGAGUCCCCGUCGCACCUGCGCAUGGUGCCGGGGGGUCAGGCUGCAGCGCCAGAGCACAAGCUCACACGACCGGGGCUGCCUGCAGUUCUCAGGCUGCCCUUUUAAUCGCUAGCGACACGG